rnacentral:rRNA from 1 species
UACGUAGGGUGCAAGCGUUGUCCGGAAUUAUUGGGCGUAAAGAGCUCGUAGGCGGUCUGUUGCGUCGGCUGUGAAAACCCGGGGCUCAACUCCGGGCCUGCAGCCGAUACGGGCAGACUAGAGUUCGGCAGGGGAGACUGGAAUUCCUGGUGUAGCGGUGAAAUGCGCAGAUAUCAGGAGGAACACCGGUGGCGAAGGCGGGUCUCUAGGCCGAUACUGACGCUGAGGAGCGAAAGCGUGGGGAGCGAACAGG